UACGUAGGGGGCAAGCGUUGUCCGGAAUUACUGGGUGUAAAGGGAGCGUAGGCGGGGAUGCAAGUUGGGUGUCAAAACUACCGGCUCAACUGGUAGUCGCACUCAAAACUGCAGCUCUUGAGUGAAGUAGAGGCAGGCGGAAUUCCUAGUGUAGCGGUGAAAUGCGUAGAUAUUAGGAGGAACACCAGUGGCGAAGGCGGCCUGCUGGGCUUUUACUGACGCUGAGGCUCGAAAGUGUGGGGAGCAAACAGG
rnacentral:rRNA from 1 species